rnacentral:rRNA from 1 species
AUUGAACGCUGGCGGCAGGCCUAACACAUGCAAGUCGAGCGGAUGAAGGGAGCUUGCUCCUGGAUUCAGCGGCGGACGGGUGAGUAAUGCCUAGGAAUCUGCCUGGUAGUGGGGGAUAACGUCCGGAAACGGGCGCUAAUACCGCAUACGUCCUGAGGGAGAAAGUGGGGGAUCUUCGGACCUCACGCUCUCAGAUGAGCCUAGGUCGGAUUAGCUAGUUGGUGGGGUAAAGGCUUACUAAGGCGACGAUCCGUAACUGGUCUGAGAGGAUGAUCAGUCACACUGGAACUGAGACACGGUCCAGACUCCUACGGGAGGCAGCAGUGGGGAAUAUUGGACAAUGGGCGAAAGCCUGAUCCAGCCAUGCCGCGUGUGUGAAGAAGGUCUUCGGAUUGUAAAGCACUUUAAGUUGGGAGGAAGGGCAGUAAGUUAAUACCUUGCUGUUUUGACGUUACCAACAGAAUAAGCACCGGCUAACUUCGUG